GAUGAAGAACGUAGCGAAAUGCGAUAAGUAAUGUGAAUUGCAGAAUUCAGUGAAUCAUCGAAUCUUUGAACGCACAUUGCGCCCGCCAGUAUUCUGGCGGGCAUGCCUGUCUGAGCGUCAUUUCAACCCUCAUGCCCCUAGGGCGUGGUGUUGGGGAUCGGCCAAAGCCCGCGAGGGACGGCCGGCCCCUAAAUCUAGUGGCGGACCCGUCGUGGCCUCCUCUGCGAAGUAGUGAUAUUCCGCAUCGGAGAGCGACGAGCCCCUGCCGUUAACCCCCCAACUUUCCAAGGUUGACCUCAGAUCAGGUAGGAAUACCCGCUGAACUUAAGCAUAUCAAUAAGCGGAGGA
rnacentral:misc_RNA from 1 species